GCGGGGGAAGGCCGGGCUGGCUCUCCUCCCCCGGCGCCCCUCCCCCGGCCAGACGGCGGAGGCUCCCGAGCGACAAUGAAGCAGCAGCAGCCGCAGCCGCCCCAGCCCCAGCCGCCGCCCUCGGCCGGCGCGGGGGUCCCGGCCUUCCUCAGCAAGCUGUGGGCGCUGGUGGGCGAGGCCCCCAGCAACCAGCUCAUCACCUGGAGCCAGAAUGGCCAGAGUUUCUUGGUGUUGGAUGAACAGAGAUUCGCAAAAGAGAUUCUUCCCAAGUACUUCAAGCACAACAACAUGGCAAGCUUUGUCAGACAGUUAAACAUGUAUGGCUUCCGUAAAGUUGUCCAUGUUGAUUCUGGGAUUGUCAAACUGGAGCGAGAUGGUCCAGUAGAGUUUCAGCACCCAUAUUUUAAGCAGGGCCGGGAGGACUUGUUGGAACACAUUAAAAGGAAGGUUUCUUCUUCGAGACCUGAAGAAAACAAGAUACGUCAGGAAGAUCUCUCCAAAAUAAUAAGCAGUGCUCAAAAGGUGCAAAUUAAACAAGAGACUAUCGAAUCUCGGUUAUCUGCUUUGAAGAGAGAGAAUGAAUCCCUUUGGAGAGAAGUGGCAGAACUGAGAGCAAAACACUUGCAACAGCAGCAGGUUAUUCGGAAGAUUGUACAGUUUAUUGUUACCUUGGUGCAGAAUAACCAACUAGUGAGCCUAAAACGCAAGAGGCCUUUACUUCUGAACACUAAUGGGCCUACAAAGUCAAAUGUAUUUCAGCAGAUUGUGAAAGAGCCAGCUGACAGUAACCACCAUGUACCGCUCAACAGAAAUGAGGGCUUAAAACAAAGGGAACAGAUUUCAGAUGACAUCAUUAUUUAUGAUGUCACUGAGGAUGUGGGUGAUGAAGAAAAUCCCAUGGGUGAUGAAGAAAAUCUUCCCAUUACACCAGAAGCAAAUGAAGAUACCACUUCGGAUUCUUCCAACUGUAGUCAUUCUCCCGAUAUUGUAAUUGUGGAAGAUGAUAACGAGGAAGAAUACGCCCCUGUAAUUCAAGGUGAUAAAAGCACCGAAUCAGUUGCUGUCCCAGGUAAUGAUCUGCUCAGCCCUGUCAGUGACAGUACAAGCCCGCUCAUGUCAAGUGCUGUACAGCUGAAUAACCAGUCAACUUUAACUGCAGAAGAUCCAGUCUCAAUGAUGGAUUCCAUACUCAGUGAGAAUGGAGUAAUUUCACAGAAUAUAAAUCUUCUUGGAAAAGUUGAACUUCUGGAUUAUCUUGACAGUAUCGACUGCAGUUUAGAGGACUUCCAAGCUAUGUUAUCAGGACGACAGUUCAGCAUAGAUCCAGAUCUCCUGGUUGAUGUAAUUGUCACUGUUUAAGUAUUUUGGUAAUACACUGCAGAAAAUAUUUGGGUGGGUUGUUCCUGUUCAAAAUGGAUUUCAAACACAACAGGGGUUUUUUUUCUUCCUUUUAAAAAAGGGAAGUUACGAAUUUGUGAAUGUGUUUCUGAGGCACUGGUACAAUUAGUGCAACACCACUGCUCAAGCAGAUGCUUAAGUUUUUGAUUGAAGAAUGAACUGCUUCAUGAAAUAAUGCUUGUAUUUGUUGCUACAUGAACUCAGGCCCCAGUUAGAUGAAUACUUUUCCUUUGAAAUAGCCCAGCACAUCAUCUGUGGCCUUCUCAGUGAACUGGAGUUAAAAAGGCUCUUGGCAUUUAUUUUACAAGCUUCUCUGCCAUUUCAGGUGAUUUCUUAGGAGUAUGUAUAUGUUCUCAAUUUCUCUUUAGAUUUAUGUCAAGUAGAAUGGUCUAGGUCAGAAGGGACCCGUGCAUGGCAUCUAGCCCAGCCUCCUUGCUCAAAGCAAGGCCCACUCGAAAGUCUGCUCAUGUUGCUCAGGACCUUGUUGACUCAAAAUCUGAAAUCUGCAGAGAUGGGAGAUCCCACAGGCCUGUUCCAGUGCUUGACUCUUCUUUGUGAAGUAUUUCCUUGUGUCAGUCAGUUUUCCCUGCUGCAGCUUGUAGUUCUUGCCUCUUGUCCUCUGUCCACCUGUGUGGAGUUUGUCUUCUGUGUAACACCUCUUCAGAAGCCCUGGAAGAGUGCAGGUAUCCCCCCUUGCCUGCCCUCUCCAGACAAGAUCAGCCAGGCUCCCUCAGCCUCUUGUAUGUCAUAACCUCCAAAUGUCUGUGGCCCUCUGGAUGCCCUCUAGUUGGAAAACUCUUGUACUGGGAAGCCUAAAACUGGACACUCUUCCAACAAGUGCCCUCAGGUGCUGUGCAGAGAGAAGUAACUGCUUCCAGUGACCUGGCUGUGCUUUGCCUGUAGCAGAGCAUGCCUCCCUGCAGCAAGGCUGUGCUGCUGGCUCAUGGUAGGGUGCUGUCUACCACAACUCCCAGGUCCCCUCUCAGGAGCUGCUCCUUGUCUGUUUGUUCCCAAACCUGGGCCACUGCAUGGGGUUACUGUGGCCGGAAUGAGUCUGGCGGCUGAACCCAAUGGAGUGCCUGCUGGCCCCUCUCGCACUUUGCUGAAAUUCCUCUUAACAGCAGCUCUGUUCUCCCACGGAUGGAGGACGCCUUCCAGUUUGGUGUCACUUGCGAACUUGGUCAGGGUGUGUUCUUCCUUACUAUUCACAGAAUUCUCCACGCAGCAACAUAGGAAGGAGUUGGUAUUUUAAGACUGCAGCAAACCAUGUUAAUCUAAGGUAGAUGCGAUAUAGUCGUUACCUUUGUGACUGAGGUUCACAGAAUUCCAAACCAUUACACUCCAAAGCUAGGUUUUCUUCACAAAAGCGGUAACUACCUGUAAAUAAACCCUAAUCCUGAUAGAGCCUGAAAACAUUAAGUACGAGUAUUACUCUCACACAUUCAGAUGUGAUGUUCUUGUAUUCUUAAUGGCAACAUCAAGGUACCUAAAACUUGAUGUGUUUUGUCUUAUUCAGCUUUUUACAAGCUCCGUGCAGAUGAAUCCCACAGAUCAUAUCACUAAUACCAAAAUGGAGGCAAAGGGAAUAGAAACCACCAAGAAUAAUGCUGGUGCAGCGGCUUCACAGGAAACACAAGUUUCUAAGCCCAAAUCAG